rnacentral:tRNA from 1 species
GAUUCUCUCGGAACUGGCAGACGCACAGGACUUAAAAUCCUGCGGUGAGUGAUCACCGUGCCGGUUCGAUUCCGGCCCUCGGCA